CUAGAUCAGCAUAUAGUACUAGUAAAACCAAAGCUCAACAAAAACAAUAUGCUCAGCGCAAAAGGGAUAUAUACGUAAAUCUUUGUUAACUUUAUUUUUAGAACAUAAAAAAGUUAUUUCCGAUGCUAAAAAUUAGAUUCAAUAGUAUUGAAUUCAGAAAUGAUAACAUUAUUGUGGAUGGUGCCUAAAGGUGAUAAUAACAUUAUACUAUAGUUUCAAUGGGUGACCUUUUUCCAGAAGGCAUAAAGCAAGUGCAAUAAGUUGGAAAAUGACAUUUGAUUUUUGUAGAGACAUCAAGAUUAUUGUUUAGUAUUAAAACGCGGUUUAAUUAGAUGUAUAUUAGUAGCAAUUGGACAAAAUCUCUGAAAGACAGAUAGGCAACCAGUAAAUAGCUGUUUUUU
rnacentral:lncRNA from 1 species